AUGGACACAGGCACCUGUCUGGAGUGUAAACUUGGAUAUAUAGGGGACAAGUGUGACAUAGAAUGCACAAAUGGUAAAUAUGGAAAACAAUGCCAUAAUGAUUGUGGCUAUUGCAGACAUAUGAACGAGUGUAGUCAUAUUAAUGGGACAUGUGUAAAAGGGUGUAAGCCGGGAUAUAAACAACCCAUGUGUACACAAAAAUGUGAAUUGGGAUCAUAUGGAGAUGAAUGCAGUGAAACUUGUGGACACUGUCUAGACGUCCGCCAGUGUUCCAAUAGCAAUGGGAUAUGUCUAAAAGGGUGUGAUGCUGGGUAUCAAGGUGCAAUCUGCAAAACACAAUGCUCUGCACGAAGGUAUGGGGAGGCUUGUCAGCUUCAUUGCGGUUACUGUAAAAACAUGAUAAAAUGCCACCACGUAGAUGGGACGUGUAAAAACGGAUGUGAACCAGGAUUCAUAGGAGAUAGGUGUAAAACAGAAUGUACACACAGGAAGUACGGUGAUGGUUGUCGGACUGAUUGUGGACACUGUAAAGAUAUGGUGCCGUGUAACCACGUGGAUGGGGCGUGUCCAAACGGAUGUGAACCCGGAUAUACACAAGACAAUUGUACACAACAUUGUGAGAUAGGAACGUAUGGAGUUGACUGUAAUGAGACCUGUGGACACUGUCGUGAUUUAAACCAGUGUUCUUACACAAAUGGAACAUGCUUCACUGGAUGUAAUGCUGGUUACCAUGGUGACCAAUGCAAAACAGUUGACGAACUGUCUAGAAGAACCCUUCUCUUUUUUAUCUUUUCGUUAUGUUCGAUAUUGGGACUGACAUGGAUUUGUUGGAUAAUCUCCACAAUUUGUAAUAGAAGAGGACGGUGUGGACAACAAAAUUUUAAACGAUGCAAAAAAGAAGUCCAAGCUGAAGAUUUACAUAUGAAAGCUGAAAGUGAGAUAGUGGCGCGAAUAUACGACGAUACAAAGUGUAAGAGUCCGGUGGAAAAUCAGACGUAUUUCAAUGUUCCUGAAGACAACACUUAUGUUGAAAUGAAACAUAUUUAUCAAAAUUGAAUAACUCUACGGAGCUUGACAGCAAAGCGCAACUUAACCAUUCAAUAAUUUAUGAGCUCCUUUCCAGGUGAUCAAUGGCGAUCAAUAACGAGCUUCAGAUUUUGGUUUUAUUUUUUUUAUAUAUA
rnacentral:sRNA from 1 species